UGAAUACGAGACGCUAAGGCGUCGAAGUAGUGUAUGUCAUACUUCCAAGAAAAGCUUGCACUGUCAUAGAUAAAAAACGCCUGUACCAUAACCGACACAGGUGGGUAGGUAGAGUAUACUAAGGGGCGCGAGAUAACUCUCUCUAAGGAACUCGGCAAAAUAACUCCGUAACUUCGGGAGAAGGAGUGCCUUAUUCGUAAGGUUGCAAUAACAAGAUCCAAGCAACUGUUUAUCAAAAACACAGGUCUCCGCUAAGUCGUAAGACGAAGUAUGGGGGCUGACGCCUGCCCAGUGCCAGAAGGUUAAAGAAGUUGGUUAGCAAUUGCGAAGCUGAUAACUGAAGCCCUGGUGAACGGCGGCCGUAACAAUAACGGUCCUAAGGUAGCGAAAUUCCUUGUCGGGUAAGUUCCGACCCGCACGAAAGGCGUAAUGAUUUGGAUACUGUCUCGGAGAGGGGCUCGGUGAAAUAGACUUGUCUGUGAAGAUGCGGACUACCUGCACCAGGACAGAAAGACCCUAUGAAGCUUUACUGUAACUUGAAAUUGAAAUUGGACUUUAUUCGCGCAGUAUAGGUGGGAGGCGUUGAUUAUAAUCUUGUGGGAUUAUUGGAGCCAUCAGUGAGAUACCACUCUUGUAAUGUUAGAUUUCUAACUUUGAAUCAUUAUCUGGUCAAAGAACAGUUUCAGGCGGGCAGUUUGACUGGGGCGGUCGCCUCCUAAACGGUAACGGAGGCGUACAAAGGUUUCCUCUGAACGGUUAGAAAUCGUAUCUAGAGUGUAAAGGCAUAAGGAAGCUUGACUGUGAGACCUACAAGUCGAGCAGGGACGAAAGUCGGUCUUAGUGAUCUGACGGUACUGAGUGGAAAGGCCGUCACUCAACGGAUAAAAGUUACUCUAGGAUAACAGGCUGAUCUCCCCCAAGAGUUCACAUCGACGGGGAGGUUUGGCACCUCGAUGUCGGCUCAUCGCAUCCUGGGGCGGUAGUACGUCCCAAGGGUUGGGCUGUUCGCCCAUGAAAGCGGUACGCGAGCUGGGUUCAGAACGUCGUGAGACAGUUCGGUCCAUAUCCGGUGUAGGCGUUAGAAUAUUGAGAGGAGCCUUCUUUAGUACGAGAGGACCGAGAAGGACAUACCUCUGGUGUACCAGUUAUCGUGCCAACGGUAAACGCUGGGUAGCUAUGUAUGGAGUGGAUAACCGCUGAAAGCAUCUAAGUGGGAAGCCCACCUCAAGAUAAGUAUUCUC
rnacentral:rRNA from 1 species